rnacentral:sRNA from 1 species
UGAAUAAUGCUUCUAGGGGCUUGUGAUC